rnacentral:rRNA from 3 species
GUGCUGAAAGCAUCUAAGCACGAAACUUGCCCCGAGAUGAGUUCUCCCUGAGACUUUAAGUCUCCUGAAGGAACGUUAAAGACGAUGACGUUGAUAGGCCGGGUGUGUAAGCGCAGCGAUGCGUUGAGCUAACCGGUACUAAUGAACCGUGAGGCUUAACCUU